AUUGAACGCUGGCGGCAGGCCUAACACAUGCAAGUCGAGCGGAUGAAGGGAGCUUGCUCCUGGAUUCAGCGGCGGACGGGUGAGUAAUGCCUAGGAAUCUGCCUGGUAGUGGGGGAUAACGUCCGGAAACGGGCGCUAAUACCGCAUACGUCCUGAGGGAGAAAGUGGGGGAUCCUCGGACCUCACGCUAUCAGAUGAGCCUAGGUCGGAUUAGCUAGUUGGUGGGGUAAAGGCCUACCAAGGCGACGAUCCGUAACUGGUCUGAGAGGAUGAUCAGUCACACUGGAACUGAGACACGGUCCAGACUCCUACGGGAGGCAGCAGUGGGGAAUAUUGGACAAUGGGCGAAAGCCUGAUCCAGCCAUGCCGAGUGUGUGAAGAAGGUCUUCGGAUUGUAAAGCACGUUAAGUUGGGAGGAAGGGCAGUAAGUUAAUACCUUGCUGUUUUGACGUUACCAACAGAAUAAGCACCGGCUAACUUCGUG
rnacentral:rRNA from 1 species